rnacentral:rRNA from 1 species
ACGAACGCUGGCGGCGUGCCUAAUACAUGCAAGUCGAGCGGAAUGAUGAAGAAGCUUGCUUCUUCUGAUUUUAGCGGCGGACGGGUGAGUAACACGUGGGCAACCUACCUUGUAGAUUGGGAUAACUCCGGGAAACCGGGGCUAAUACCGAAUAAUCCAUUUUGCUUCAUGGCGAGAUGUUGAAAGACGAUUUCGGCUGUCACUAUAAGAUGGGCCCGCGGCGCAUUAGCUAGUUGGUAGGGUAAUGGCCUACCAAGGCGACGAUGCGUAGCCGACCUGAGAGGGUGAUCGGCCACACUGGGACUGAGACACGGCCCAGACUCCUACGGGAGGCAGCAGUAGGGAAUCUUCCACAAUGGACGAAAGUCUGAUGGAGCAACGCCGCGUGAGUGAAGAAGGUUUUCGGAUCGUAAAACUCUGUUGCAAGGGAAGAACACGUACGAGAGUAACUGCUCGUACCUUGACGGUACCUUAUUAGAAAGCCACGGCUAACUACGUG